rnacentral:tRNA from 12 species
GCGGUACUAGCUCAGUUGGUAGAGCGCAACCUUGCCAAGGUUGAGGUCAAGAGUUCGAGCCUCUUGUACCGCUCCA